rnacentral:rRNA from 1 species
GAUGAACGCUGGCGGCGUGCUUAAUACAUGCAAGUCGAGCGGACGGGCGCGAAGCUUGCUUCUCUCAUGUUAGCCGCGGAGGUGAGUGUAACACGUGGAUAACCUACCUAUAUGUCGGGUAACACUUCGGGACAGCGGCGCAAAUCCGGUAGAAUAUUUUGAACCGUGUGGUUGAUUAGAGAGAUACGGCCUUGCGGGCUGUUAUAGAUGGAUCCGCGCUGCUUUAGCUAGUUGUUAAGGUAACGGCGUACCAAGGCAACGAUGCAUAGCCGACCUGAGAGGCGGAUCGGCCGCACUAGAACUGGAACACGGACCAGACUCCUAAGGGAGGCAGCAGUAGGGUAUCUGCCGCAAUGGGCGAAAGCCUGACGGAGCAACGCCGCGUGAGUGAUGAAGGUCUUCGGAUCGUAAAACUCUGUUAUUAGGGAAGAACAUAUGUGUAAGUAACUGUGCACAUCUUGACGGUACCUAAUCAGAAAGCCACGGCUAACUACGUG